rnacentral:tRNA from 1 species
GAGAAAGACAUAGUGGUUAUGAUGUUGGCUUGAAACCAAUUCUUGGGGGUUCGAAUCCUUCCUUUCUUA